rnacentral:other from 1 species
CUGGAGAUGUGAACUUGCUAAAUUACGUAAAUAAGGGAGUUAUAAAGUAGUUUAGUAUUGCUAUCUCUAGGACACUGUUGGCUAUUUAGUCUUAAUGAUCAAGAUGCAGUGGAGCAGCCCUCUAAAAAUCUAGGUCACCUCCCUAGCGAUAGUUAGGAUGAUCCACCUACGUCGCGAAAUACCGGAUCGCUACAAUUAAA